AACUAGCCUAUAUUUGAAAUGUUAGAGGAACUCCUAAAGUUAGACAACAGACGAAGCAAUUUCUCUUGUAAAUAUAGUUAAGGUAUAGUUACAGGAAUAGUUGUGGUUAAAUAGAUAUGAUGAGAUAGUCAGCUGCGUAUAAGCUGGACUAUGAUAGUGUAUUGCAACAUCUUUGAUGAUUAAUAAAAUUCUUAAUUACCAAAAAAAAAGUGACUCAUUAAAUAUGAAACGGAGAAAGUAAUUCUUUUCUUUUUUCUUUAACACUUCAUCUUCCUCCUCCCAUACUUAUUCGAUGGGUGUGUGACUCUUAGUCUCUCUCGCUCACUCCUUGGAGUUUUAAAAAAACUUAAUCCAGAUAAAUCUCCAUGACAAUCAAUAGUGAGAAAGAGAGACAACCCCUUCCAUUACCGCUUGUCAAGUCAAAUUGUUACAGCAUUUUUUCCAGAAAGAGAAGAUAUUUUCUGAGAAAAAAACCUGAUUUUUUUACUUUAGCUUCCGUAAAAUUGAAAUCAACAAAACAUUGUUCCGUAGGUACUCUACCAAUCUUAUUUGAAAAUUUUACUCAAGUAUUCUUUUAUAUCUUUUCAUCAUUUUCAUAGAGAAAAAGAAGAGAACAGAGGAUUUUGAGCCAAAAAAGAGAGGAGAAAAGAAGUAAAAUAAAGAUUAUAGGGGUCAUAUAUCUGCUUUUUAUUGAGUUUCAUGAACACUGCUAAAGCUUAGUCAUAUGUCAAUAUUAAUGGUGCUUUUUUUUUUCUUUAUGAUUCUUUUUUUUUUAAGUAUUCUUUGACAAUUGGCUAAUUGCUUGAGAGAAGAAAAUCAGAAAACGAAUUAGUAACAUUUAAUUCUGGUAAAUGGAGAGGAAUUGCAGGGAUUUGGAAGAGGAAAGAAUAAAAGGGGCAAGAGAUGGAGUUGGCCAAUUUUUUAUUAAAAGUGGGAUCCAAAAAUCAACAACAACAACCCAGUAUAAUCUCACAUAGUGAGGUUUGGGAGGGUGGUGUGUACACAGACAUUACUCCUACCCUUGGGUAGAGAGGCAGUUUCCAAAUAGAUCAUCGGCAUCCUUCCCUCCAAGAACUUCUCACCUUGCUCUUGAGAGACUCGAAUUCACAACCUUUCGAUUGGAAGUGGUGUUGCUUACCAUCAAACCAACCCUCCUGUCAAAAAAGUGGGACCCAAAAAUCGACUUGGCAAAAUUCUAAAAGAAUCUCAUACAAGUUGCGUCUGCCGCAUAAUAGUUGAAUCUCAUGCAAAAUACAAUUUCUCACUCUCCCUUAACCAUGGUGGACUUCUAACUUAUCUGAUUGUACUAACAAGGAAUGUGAUGAAAUAGUAAAUAUUUUCUUCACCAUAACAUAACUUUUUCUUAUAUUCAUGACUCGAACUCAAUUCACCGGCCAUUUUGCACCCAAAAAUCCCCCCUCUCUCUCAAACUUGCAACCCAAUUCGCCAUGUCUGAUUGCCAAAGGGAAACAAAAACGAAAAGGCAAAAAGCAACAUUGAAUAUUUCUUUUUUCUAGACUACUUAACCACCAUUUCCCAACCAAAAGUAACCAUGGUCAAUUUGUCAUUUCUCAAACAUAAACCACUCAUCAUGUCAAAAGUCAAGAAGAAUAUUCAACAAAAGAAAAGGAUAGAUGGCAUACCAAUUGGAGUGAAUUAACAUAAGAAUGGAUCGAACUUCAGAAGUAGAGCAAAAGGGUGAUAUCUUGCAAUUGUGAAGAAGAAAAGGCAAAUUAAAUAAGAAAAGUACUGAGAUAUUGAAAAGUGGGUAGGAAUAUUGGUAAUUGGAAUUGAUCUUCCCUUUUACUUGGGAUUCUUUUACAUCUGUAUUCUUUUCUACAAAUUGAUUGAAAUUGCUUAGCUGUUUUUGUGUUCAUACUUGAGUUAGUAUGUGAUCCCAACAUUUGCAUUUGUGUUUUGGCUUGUGUCUUCGUUAUGAUAGUUAUUUAUGGUUGUUACUGUAUUAUAUUAUUGUAUGCUAUUUUAUUUAUGUUUCUUAUGUUUAGAUAAUUGUUUACGUUAUUUCUGCUAGAGUUACUAAUGCUCUCUUGUUUUUGUCUUUCCUUUCCUUCACUGAGCCGAGGGUCGAUUGGAAACAAUCUCUCUGCCCUUUCGGGUAGAGAUAAGACUCGUCUAUAUAUUACCUUUUCCAGACCUCAUUUUUUGAGACUAUACUGGGUAGUUGUUAUUGUUUGUUGUUGGUGUUUGUUGUUGGUGUUUGAGUAGACACAUUUUUCGAACAGUAUAAGAAGACUUCCAACCCAAACUAAAUAUAUAUUUUUCUGUGAUAUUUUUUCUUUCUCAGAUUCGAACUUCUUCUUGUUGUUGUUGUUUAUUCGAACUUCUUAAUUUUAAUUAUGCAUUUGGAUAUAGAAUUACUUUUUAGAUUUUUAAAAUAAAAGAAGAUAUAGAUAGCAUACCAAUUAUAACACCCGACAAGACCAAUUUGCAAAAGUACUCCACUUCUUAACAAGAAUUGAACUCCAAAAAGUACACCAAAUGGUUAUCUCUGGCAAUAUUGAAGGAUGAGAGGAGAAGCAAAGCAAAAUGAGAUAUGGAAAAGUGGGAAGCAUUUUUAUAAAAAAGAGAGAAGGAUAUAAUUAAUUAAUCUAUG
rnacentral:lncRNA from 1 species